UGUUUGCUUGACGAUAUGGACUCACUGGAUUGAUGUAAUCGACGCAUGACGUCCCCCACAACCCUUCUAUCGAAUUCAUCAAGCUUUGUUUUCUUUGCAUGAUUUGAGACGGUCCCCGAUUUAACUGCCAUGUCAUCGUCAGGCUCUGAAAUAGUGUCAUGGGAGAUAACUCUUUGCAAUAUUCUUUUGCAGAUCUUCCUGGCAUUAAAUGUCUUUUGGAGAAAAAUUCAAUGAAAAAAAAGAGUAAAAUAUUUCGCU